AACGUAGGUCACAAGCGUUGUCCGGAAUUACUGGGUGUAAAGGGAGCGCAGGCGGGAAGACAAGUUGGAAGUGAAAUCCAUGGGCUCAACCCAUGAACUGCUUUCAAAACUGUUUUUCUUGAGUAGUGCAGAGGUAGGCGGAAUUCCCGGUGUAGCGGUGGAAUGCGUAGAUAUCGGGAGGAACACCAGUGGCGAAGGCGGCCUACUGGGCACCAACUGACGCUGAGGCUCGAAAGUGUGGGUAGCAAACAGGAUUAGAAACCUAGUCCGGCUGACUGACU
rnacentral:rRNA from 1 species